CUCCCAAAUCUCCAUGGCCCGCUGCGCGCCACCACCCCGCCGUGCCCCUACCGGCCCUGCUUCGCUGCGUCACCUCUACUUUCCCUUCUCUACCACAUCGGUGACCAAGGCGGACCAUCUGGCGGUGGACACGAUGUCCUCUCGCGGAUCUGACUGCCGCCACCACCGUCGCCUCCUCAACGCCACCUCGACCUCGAGCUCCUCCUCGACGCGGUUUUUCCCGGCGAGCUCCUCCCUGAUGGCCCCCUCCUCUCCUGCAUCUCGAGCACUAUGGCGAGGACAACGGCAUCCACCUCGCCGCUAGAUCAAGAUCGCAUCCACCACCUCGACUUCUCUCCAAAGGUUGACCAUGCUAGCAGUGGCAGAGCUUGAAAGAAAUCUAAGGAGGGGCAAAGAUAAAACAAAAAAUCAAAUACAAAAUCAUACGACUGUAAGGGAUGCAAGCGGACAGCGUCUGCAUAUCCGCGAAGCAAAAAUUGCACUAUCUUUGUUACUUUAACAACCAUGUACCAAGGAUUGUUUAGAGACUACAUUGUUGUUUUCUAGCUUGGAGAAGCAACAUCAACUUGGGGUGCAGAUUCACCAGUAUAUGUACAUGCGUCUCAUGGGGGGGAGCUCUUGCACGGGUGUAAGACCAUUUUGCUUCUGUCAGUUAUAGAUUUUAGAGUGAUGAUUUGCUUAAAUUCGUUUCCAUGCAUAAAAUCAACAUCUAAUGGAGUAUUAGCAAAUUAUUUUACCUUUGUUAUUGUAACUGGGAGCUAUGAAUACCAUAUCAAUAGAUUUAGUAUAUUUUGAUUGCAUAGUUUCUUUUCUGCUAUUUUCUGGAGCUUAAAUUCAGCUGAAACUUUACAGAACUAGGGAACACUAAUCCAUAGAGCUAUCCUUUCCUUUGCUUUGUUUUUCCUAUAGAACAGAGUAAGCAUGAUAUGAGUAGUGUAUACGGAACACAUCGCUUAACUGGCCAUGUAUGUAUUUUAAUGUAUUUGAGACACGGCUAAUGUACAAGUUGAUUUACAUGAGCAUGCCCAUGUAUAUUUUCACAACCGGGCCCUUAUCUUGCAGAUCCUUGAAACGAGCCAAGAACCACUAAAUUUGUGUGCUCAGGAACAUGCAGAUCAUGACCAUAAUGUCACUUUGGAUGCUUCUCCCCAAGAUUUGAAUCUGGAGCCUGACGCAAGUGUUGCAGGGACGGUUGGAUUUUUAUUGAUAAUGCAUUUGGAACUAACUCACUCAGCUUUGUCUCUCCUGGGAAGGUAACCUCUUGAGAGUUAAUGAUUUUGGGUACAUGUAUAGAUAGCAUGUUGUAACAAGUAUUUUUGAUACUCAGCGUGACCAACAUUGCUUGUACAUAUUGUUCAAGGUGUUCU